GGUGGGAAAUGCCCCGCACGAACUAUCUGAUCAAGUUUUCUUUUUCCUAUCACAGGCAGAUGGCAAAGCCGUGUUUGAUCGUCGCGUACAUGCUCCGUUACAGCUUCGUUCAUGCGCCAAUCAAUUGACAGUGAAGCAGAGAAGGAAGAGUUUUGAUCACCGUGUGGGUAGUCUCUAUUAGGGUUUCCGUUUCAUGUGCACUAAAAAGGAAGGA
rnacentral:lncRNA from 1 species